UACAGAGGUGGCAAGCGUUGUUCGGAAUUAUUGGGCGUAAAGAGCUCGUAGGCGGUCUGUCGCGUCGGAUGUGAAAACUCGGGGCUCAACCCCGAGCCUGCAUUCGAUACGGGCAGACUAGAGUUCGGUAAGGGAGACUGGAAUUCCUGGUGUAGCGGUGAAAUGCGCAGAUAUCAGGAGGAACACCGGUGGCGAAGGCGGGUCUCUGGGCCGAUACUGACGCUGAGGAGCGAAAGCGUGGGGAGCGAACAGG
rnacentral:rRNA from 1 species